GCCUCGGUGGCUUAGCCGGCAUAGCGCGUCCUUGGUAAGGACGAGGUCGCGAGUUCAAAUCUCGCCCGAGGCUCCA
rnacentral:tRNA from 1 species